UUAAGUUCAGCGGGUAUCCCUACCUGAUCCGAGGUCAACCAUAGAAAAAUUCGGGUUUUGGCAGAAGCACACCGAGAACCUGUAACGAGAGAUAUUACUACGUUCAGGACCCAGCGGCGCCGCCACUGAUUUUAGAGCCUGCCAUUACUGACAUAGACUCAAUACCAAGCUAAGCUUGAGGGUUGAAAUGACGCUCGAAC
rnacentral:misc_RNA from 1 species